rnacentral:rRNA from 1 species
GUGGGGAAUCUUAGACAAUGGGCGCAAGCCUGAUCUAGCCAUGCCGCGUGAGCGAUGAAGGCCUUAGGGUUGUAAAGCUCUUUCGCUGGGGAAGAUAAUGACUGUACCCAGUAAAGAAGCCCCGGCUAACUCCGUGCCAGCAGCCGCGGUAAUACGGAGGGGGCUAGCGUUGUUCGGAAUUACUGGGCGUAAAGUGCGCGUAGGCGGAUUGGAAAGUUGGGGGUGAAAUCCCGGGGCUCAACCUCGGAACUGCCUUCAAAACUCCCAGUCUUGAGUUCGAGAGAGGUGAGUGGAAUUCCGAGUGUAGAGGUGAAAUUCGUAGAUAUUCGGAGGAACACCAGUGGCGAAGGCGGCUCACUGGCUCGAUACUGACGCUGAGGUGCGAAAGCGUGGGGAGCAAACAGGAUUAGAUACCCGUGUAGUCC